CAAAACCCACGGCCAUAAAACCCAUAAAAUCUACCCACAGCCCCCAUUGCUUGGAGGAAGCCAUUUCCGGAAAAAGCUUAUGGAAGCCAUGCCGAAGAAGCCCCAUGGAAGCUAUGGUCCGUAAAGCCAAAGCCACCUCCAAGAAACUCCCGUAAAAAUCGUUUCUCUCUAGGUUUUGGUGAGUUUUGGAAUUUUUUUUUUUUUUUUUUGAGUUUUGUUAAUUGGUAUUUUGGAAAUGUUUGUGAUUAGGUUUGAGAUUCCAUUGUUAUUGGGUUUAUUUUCAUUUUAUUGGGUUUAUUUCCAUUGUUAUAGGGUUUUGGUGCUUUUGGAAAAAUCACACUUAAUUACUUCCUAAGGUACAAUUUCUCUCUAGUUUCUCUCUCUAUUUUUUCUAUGAUUUAAUUCUGAUUUCAUUGUUAUUGGGUUUAUUUCCAUUGUUACUGUGUAAUGAAAGAAUUUUUCUUUUGUUUGUUGCAUUAUCUUCAAUUGCCUAUUUCCAUUGGGUUUAAUUAUUGUGUUGAAAAUUUGAUUAGUUUCCAACAAUGUUGUUUUUUCUUUGUUUUUGUAGCUUUGAGUUUGUGAACAUGUUGAUAUGGAUUAAAACCAUAUAUUCCACACUCCACGUUUCUGUUGCUUUGUUUUUUUUGUCCUAUUUAUGAGUCUCACAAACAAUAAUAUUUUACAAAAUUUUAAAUAUUUUAUUUGUAUAUCAAAUAGUCAUACAAUUAAGACACAUCACUUUUAUGAAUAUUAUUUUCCAUGUAAGAUAGAUUUUUAUACCAUAUGUCACACUUUAGUUAAGGAUAUGGUAAUUUAAACAAAUAUUUUUUAAGAUAGUCCUAAAAAUUAUUUUAAAUUUUAUGAUACCCAUUAAGUGUAUUAGGAAAUUGCCUUUUCAAUUAAAUAUUAAAAUAUUUUUUAAAAGACAAUUUUAAAUUAAAAUUAAAAUUAUCUUCUUCUUUUUUAAAGUAAUUUUAAAUUGCCUUUUCAAUAAUAUUUUUUUAGCUUUGGGAACUCAUAUUACCAACUAUCUAAAAUCCAUGAUAUUUUAAGAAGAUAAAAAAAAAUAGAAAGUAGAUAAAAAAAAAUUAUAAUUUAAGAACUAUUAAUUAUAUAAUAAGAGAUACAAAUAAUUAUGGAAAAGUUUGUAUACAAAUAACUGUUUAAAAAAAUAAUUAUAUAAAUAUAUAAAAUAAAAUAUUAUAUAUAAAAUUUAUUUUAAAAAUAUUUUAAAUUUUUAAAUAUUAUUUUGUUUUAUUAAACAUAAUUAUUAAAACUCUUUUUAAAAAUAAUUAUCAAACAUGCUAUUAAAAAUUUUGAAUCAUAAUUCUUUCUAAAUAAAUUCAUUAUACAAUUAAUAAUAUAGAAUGAAACUUAAGUAUGUAAUAGCUCCCACCAUAAGUCCCCUAAAAUUUAAUGAUUUUCCAUGUGGCAUGACAUCAUGUCAUAGUCAAAUCAUUUUUAUCCUAAAAUAAAUAAAGAAAUUUACAAUAGUGGUGCAAACUAGAUUGCAAUGGUGGAUUAAUUAAAGUUAAAGUAAAUCCCUCAAUGCAUCCAAACUUACAUGAUUAAAGAAAUUUUAUAAAUUAGAAUUAUGAAAUGAAUAAAAUAAUAAAGGAUGGAUUAUUGAUUAGCUUAAUUGGCAACUAUUUUAUAGGCGUCGAGAUACAAAUAAGAGAUACAAGUAAAUAUUUUAUUUUAUAUAUACAAAUAAUUAUUUUUUAUUUUUUAUAUAUUUUUUUUAAAAAAGUGAGUCAAAACCCACUUUUCUUAAAAAAAGAAAAAAAAGAGUUUGAAUUGAAUUUAGGUAAUAAAUUAGAUUAGAUAAAACUUCCUAUACGUGAUUUAUUAAAAUUUGGACCAAAUACAUUUAAUUUUCAUUGAUUCCAAAUUCCUUUAAUAUAUACAUAUAUAUAAUUUUAUUUUUUUGGAUAGAGUUUGAGUUGGCAAUCAACCAAACCCCCGAUCCACAUGAGCUACACGUUACAGCCAAUAAUGCUAAGUUGGAUAUAGGCCC
rnacentral:lncRNA from 1 species